GGAGCCGGCCGGGUGGUCGCGGCCUCGGGCGCCAGCCCGGGGUCGAGGAAAGUCCGGACUCCGCAGGGCAGGACGCUGGGGAAAGUCCCAGGCGGGGUGACCCGUGGAAAGUGCAACAGAAAGCAGACCGCCCGGUGCUUCGGCGCCGGGCAAGGGUGAAACGGUGAGGUAAGAGCUCACCAGCGUGCCGGGCGAUCGGCGCGGCUAGGUAAACCCCGUCCGGAGCAAGGUCGAAUAGGAGGCAUGGGCGGCCCGUCCGAAACGCCUCCGGGUAGACCGCAUGAGGCGCACGGCAACGUGCGUCCCAGAUGGAUGACCACCGGCGCCGCCCCCGGGCGGCGUUACAGGAUCCGGCUUACAGGCCGGCUCCAGAA
rnacentral:RNase_P_RNA from 1 species